UACGUAGGCAGCGAGCGUUGUUCGGAGUUACUGGGCGUAAAGCGUGCGUAGGCGGCCAACUAAGUCAGACGUGAAAUCCCUCGGCUUAACCGGGGAACUGCGUCUGAUACUGGGAUGGCUUGAAUCCGGGAGAGGGAUGCGGAAUUCCAGGUGUAGCGGUGAAAUGCGUAGAUAUCUGGAGGAACACCGGUGGCGAAGGCGGCAUCCCUGGACCGGGUAUUGACGGCCUGGAGGCGCGAAAAGGC
rnacentral:rRNA from 1 species